ACGAACGCUGGCGGCGUGGAUAAGACAUGCAAGUCGAACGAGAGAAUUGCUAGCUUGCUAAUAAUUCUCUAGUGGCGCACGGGUGAGUAACACGUGAGUAACCUGCCCCCGAGAGCGGGAUAGCCCUGGGAAACUGGGAUUAAUACCGCAUAGUAUCGAAAGAUUAAAGCAGCAAUGCGCUUGGGGAUGGGCUCACGGCCUAUUAGUUAGUUGGUGAGGUAACGGCUCACCAAGGCGAUGACGGGUAGCCGGUCUGAGAGGAUGUCCGGCCACACUGGAACUGAGACACGGUCCAGACACCUACGGGUGGCAGCAGUCGAGAAUCAUCCACAAUGGGGGAAACCCUGAUGGUGCGACGCCGCGUGGGGGAAUGAAGGUCUUCGGAUUGUAAACCCCUGUCAUGUGGGAGCAAAUUAAAAAGAUAGUACCACAAGAGGAAGAGACGGCUAACUCUGUGCCAGCAGCCGCGGUAAUACAGAGGUCUCAAGCGUUGUUCGGAAUCACUGGGCGUAAAGCGUGCGUAGGC
rnacentral:rRNA from 1 species